rnacentral:rRNA from 1 species
CCCUUAGAUGUUCUGGGCCGCACGCGCGCUACACUGACGAAGUCAGCGAGCAUGUCCUACGCCGACAGGUGCGGGGAAUCUUGUCAAACUUCGUCGUGACGGGGAUUGAUUAUUGAAAUUCUUGAUCAUCAACGAGGAAUUCCUAGUAAGCGCAAGUCAGCAGCUUGCGUUGAUUACGUCCCUGCCCUUUGUACACACCGCCCGUCGCUACUACCGAUUGAAUGGUUUAGUGAGAUCUUCGGAUUGGCGCCACUGCGGCUCAGCAAUGGGCUCGGUGGAUGCCGAAAAGUUGAUCAAACUUGAUCAUUUAGAGGAAGUAAAAGUCGUAACA